rnacentral:rRNA from 1 species
ACGGAAGGCAGCAGUAGGGAAUAUUGGACAAUGGGGGCAACCCUGAUCCAGCGACGCCGCGUGAGUGAAGAAAUAUUUCGGUAUGUAAAGCUCUAUCAGCAGGGAAGAAAAUGACGGUACCUGACUAAGAAGCACCGGCUAAAUACGUGCCAGCAGCCGCGGUAAUACGCAUGGUGCAAGCGUUAUUCGGAUUUACUGGGUGUAAAGGGAGCGUAGACGGCAUAGCAAGUCUGAAGUGAAAUGCGGGGGCUCAACCCCUGAACUGCUUUGGAAACUGUUAAGCUAGAGUGUCGGAGAGGUAAGUGGAAUUCCUAGUGUAGCGGUGAAAUGCGUAGAUAUUAGGAGGAACACCAGUGGCGAAGGCGGCUUACUGGACGAUAACUGACGUUGGGGCUCGAAAGCGUGGGGAGCAAACAGGAUUAGAUACCCUGGUA